AUUGAACGCUGGCGGCAGGCCUAACACAUGCAAGUCGAACGGUAACAGAAAGCAGCUUGCUGCUUUGCUGACGAGUGGCGGACGGGUGAGUAAUGUCUGGGAAACUGCCUGAUGGAGGGGGAUAACUACUGGAAACGGUAGCUAAUACCGCAUAACGUCGCAAGACCAAAGAGGGGGACCUUCGGGCCUCUUGCCAUCGGAUGUGCCCAGAUGGGAUUAGCUAGUAGGUGGGGUAACGGCUCACCUAGGCGACGAUCCCUAGCUGGUCUGAGAGGAUGACCAGCCACACUGGAACUGAGACACGGUCCAGACUCCUGCGGGAGGCAGCAGUGGGGAAUAUUGCACAAUGGGCGCAAGACUGAUGCAGCCAUGCCGAGUGUAUGAAGAAGGCCUUCGGGUUGUAAAGUACUUUCAGCGGGGAGGAAGGGAGUAAAGUUAAUACCUUGGCUCAUUGACGUUACCCGCAGAAGAAGCACCGGCUAACUCCGUG
rnacentral:rRNA from 1 species